rnacentral:tRNA from 1 species
GAAGACAUAGCUCAGUGGUAGAGCAUGUGCUUAGCAUGCAUGAGGUCCUGGGUUCAUCCCCUAGUAUAAUCA